rnacentral:rRNA from 1 species
UACGUAGGCAGCGAGCGUUGUUCGGAGUUACUAGGCGUAAAGCGUGCGUAGGCGGUGCCAUAAGUCUGUUGUGAAAUCUCCCGGCUUAACUGGGAGGGUGCGGUGGAAACUGUGGUGCUGGAGUGUGGGAGAGGUAGGCGGAAUUCCUGGUGUAGCGGUGAAAUGCGUAGAUAUCAGGAGGAACACCUGUGGUGUAGACGGCUUACUGGACCAUGACUGACGCUGAGGCACGAAAGCGUGGGGAGCAAACAGG